AAAACAUCGAAAUGAUUUUAUCCCACUUCGUAAGUGACGAUUGCAGCAGUGAAGAAGAAACAGCGGUAGAUCUGGCAAAAUAUCGCGGUGCGGUCAAACGACUGCGGUGUUUGUGUCGACCCGUUACAGCUUUAUAACCAAGCAUUUAAGAAAAAAAAUUCCGUAUGUAGAAGGAAAUUUUCCGUGACAUUCUGGCGGAGAUCGAACCCUCCGAGUAUUCCUAAAAGUGUAUGCAGUAUUAGAUGUGAUAAUUACAUGUACCUAUGCUGUUGGUUGUUGAAACAGUCACUCACUGAAGAAGUUGCUGGAAUCCAAUGCUAUUUAACGCAAACCGGGAGCGUGAGCCCUUCAUCUUUCGACUACCAUCGAAGUACAACAGAGGAAGGAAAUAACAGCAGCUUCUUAACCCAAAACAGCAGCUUCUUAACCCAAAACAGCAGCACGUUACCAGUAUCUCCAGCAUAUUGCCAUUUGUAUGGAUAAGGCAGUACACAUAUUUUUGUUUAAAAUGAUAAAAUUUGAUAAUUUCUGAAAUAAAAUACUUAUAUUUUGUCGUGAAAGCAACAGUAACAACUCUGUUGUUGUGUUGUGUUGGUCAAACAA